rnacentral:lncRNA from 1 species
AUCCACCACCAACUCCUCAACAUGUGAAUCAUGGAAAAGGGUUUACCCAAUCACUCAUGGAUAUGUCAAGCCACCUGAUGGAGUCACCGUGUAUCCAGGUAAUUACACAUGUUAUGCUAUACCUAAGAAUACUGGUGUGUAUCUGGGCAGAUUCCCAUCUGGAUAUUGCUCAACCUACCAUAGCCCACCUGUGUCACUACUAAUAAAUCAUGCAAAGACCAUUGGAGAUAUCUAUUGGUUAUGUGGUGACAGACAAUUGAGGUCCCAAUUAGCUGAGCAAUGGUGGGGGGAGUGUGCCCUAACCAAAGUCAUAAUGCCUAUCCACAUUAUUCCAGAUGGUAGUCAUAACACGUUAAACCUUACACAUGUACACUCUAGAACCAAACGAGAGGCUCCUAUCCGAGGGAGCUUCGACCCCCAUGUGUUUAUUGAUGCCAUAGGUGUGCCAAGGGGGGUGCCUAAUGAAUUCAAAGCAAGAGAUGAAGUGGCUGCAGGAUUUGAAUCCCUAAUUCCAAUGAUAACUGCUAACAAAAAUGUCAAUUGGAUCAACUACAUCUAUUAUAAUCAGCAGCGCUUCGUUAACUACACAAGGGAUGCCCUACAGGGCCUAGCAGAACAAUUACAAGCCACUACUCAAAUGACAUUUCAGCACAGAAUGGCCUUAGACAUGAUUUUAGCUGAGAAAGGGGGAGUAUGUAAGAUCCUCCCUGAGACCAUGACAUGCUGUACAUACAUUCCAGACAACACUGGGCCAAAUGGUAAGGUGACUACGGCCAUAGAAAAGCUAGAUAGUCUUUCUGAUGAACUAAUGAAAAAUUCAGGAGUCACUGACACUUGGGACAGAUGGUUUGGGUGGAUGAAUGGUUGGCAAAGGACCCUCUUCCAGGUAGGGACAGCUGUUCUUAUAAUGAUUAUCAUCUUAUUUUUAACCUGUUGCGUGCUCCCUUGCAUACAGAAGUACUUACAGAAAGCGGUAGAUAAGACUAUAGAUGACGUGACCCCUACUUUCCUACAUCAAGAUAUCCCAGACCUCGAAGAUGACACUCCACAUACACCCCUUCAAGCACAUCAGUUCAAACAGACAACUGCUUUCCUGUAGGGACAGUGUAGGGAAAGCGUCUGUCUUAGCAGGCGAGUCUCACGUGUGGAGAUGUGGUGGACUAGCCACUGCGGGUUACCCGCGGAGUGAAGUGUUCGAUGCUUGUUAAGACAGAUGAGUUGCAGGCAGCUAGGGAUUAUUAGGGACAGUAGCAGUUGUUAUGGUAAAUAGCCAUUUUAGGGGGGACUGUUGUGGAAAUAAG